AGAAAAAAGUAGUUGUUAAAACCCAGAUGAAAUGACGUCACGCGUGACCCACACCGCAUCGCGAGAUGCCCCGCCAUAUUGCAAAUGCAGACCUGUAAACACAGAUCGCCUGUCAUCAGAAACGCUGUAAAACUUUUUACGUGCAAGAUAAUUCAAGUCCAAUGAAGAAAAGUGAGCAGAUGGAUACAACAUAGUCAUUACCAUUUAAUAACGAGCUAUAAUGAAAAUGACUAGAUUUCCCUCUUCAGGUAAGUCUACACAGCCCUGCUGACUGCCUGAGAGGUGAGAGCGCUUAUCUAAACCAAUCAUUAAUGUGUGAAUACAUUCUAUAGGUAUAAUUUGAUCAUUUGCAUGCUCCAAGUCAUGAUCAUACUUGACUUUGUUCUUAUUGAAUAUCUUUUAGUUUCCCCCCAUGGACUUGAAUGUAUUUUAUUGCUUAGUUUAUUCAUUUAUUUGUUUUAUUGAUGCUGCAGACUUGGGUGUGUAAACCGUUCAAUGAAUAAAGUCUGACUGGGAAGCAUCUGUCAUUCCCCUUGCAUGCAUAGGGAGUUCAUGCAGACUCCAAAAAUAAACUCCUGGCAUUAAAUAAAACCUCUUCCCUUCAUGCAUUUCUAUUCAUACAGCAAUCCCCCAUCAGAUAAGAUGAUUAUCGCCUGCAUGAAAUACUAGAGUUUUAUUUCAUUAUUUAUUCCAGUUUAUGUAAGCUUCUCACUUUUGGAGCACUAAGGCUGUGGAUCACAAACAGCAAUGCAGAUACAUGCCAAAUGAAACCUGAAACAGAUGUGAUCUUAAAGUGAGGGUUAAUUUCACAGAAACUUCAGGUCUUCUGAUUUUUUUCUUAAUUUUUAGAACUUGGGGAAGAAUAACCUAUCAAACUUCUAUAUGAAUAAUAUGUCUGCAGGUGCCUUAGAUUUAAUUAUUGCUAGAGUGGAGUGGAUGGAGGGAUGUGAUUGGAAAGACCCUACCUCAGACUGGUGUGGCAUUAAUAGGAGCCAAAGCAGCCAGACGGUUUUUCCUUCCAGUUCAAAGACGGUCAGCAGAUGAACCUUUAAGCCACAGAAACUUCUUCAGAUCAAUAGAUAUAAGCCGAUGGCUGAUGCACACAUUGGUAAAAGGCUUUGGAAGGAAAACGAUGGAAGACCAAAUUCUGCAAAG